rnacentral:tRNA from 1 species
CAGAGAGUAGUUUAAUGUAAAAUGCCAGCUUUGGGAGUUGGAGGUGGAGGUUUGAGUCCUCUCUCUCUGA